CGGAAAGUUUUGCUGAUGGUAGAUUACUACCCGGAGGGGGGUGGAGGAAGAGUGACCUGGAGGUGAUGGUGGAGGUGGAGGCAGACAAAUUGAGCAAGAGCAUCAGAAAAGCACAAUGUCGAUAUUGUAAUACCUGAUUCACCACCAUGGUCUUCCCUGUUUUGUGAGUAGAUGUGAUGGCAGAUGCAGGGAUGAGUCAUUGGCUGCAAUCAGACACGGAUGCAGCAGUUUGUCACUGUAGGAGCUUCAUGCCUGGGAUGGGAGACAUUGUCCAACAGUGAUGUUAUUUUUGCUAGAGUCCCUCCCACCACCUGCACUGCAUCAAGGGGGAAUCCCAGGACACUGCUGGCCUUCCUGAAGAGCUUUUCUAACCACUUGCUCUCAGCUCUAGAUAAGCAGAUGCCUCAUCAAACUACACCAUAGAAGAUGGCUGAUGCCACCACAGAGUCAAAAAAGGAGAUGGAUUCGCUGGCACCUCUCCAUAAAGCCAUCUGUCCAGAGACAACUUUUGCAGAUGGUAACCUGGGGAGUUAAUGGAAAACUCUGCAGUGUAGAGGGUGAAGAGUAAAUGAUAUUAAAA